rnacentral:misc_RNA from 1 species
UUUUAAACAAGAGGUUGAAUCAUUUUCUAAUAUCAAAAAAAAGAGUUUUAAUCCAACAAACUCUUCAGUCAGAAACCCGAUUAUCGUCAUUAGUCAAUAACUAAAGUAAAAGAUCCGAGCCACAAGUAUAUCAAUAUCUUUUCCUUCCUGCACAUUGCACGCAAUUAUCAGAAAAGGGGAUAAGGAGAGAUGGGAGUAAGAGAUGCCAUGCCACAACGGCUUUCGAACAUUAUCAAAUGUACACAAAGUUUGAUUUAUUCCUUUUUAUUAAGAAACAUCACCCAGCAUUUAUUCUCCAUUCCACAUUUGAAAAGGUCUAUCCUGUUCUGCGCGUGUCCUGCACCACGUAUCAUUUCCGUAAACAAAAGAUAAGACAAAGCACACAGCAUAUAUAGGAUGAAAUCGUUUCUGGAAUGUAGACGUGGCACGCAGUUGCAAAAAGAUUUUAAUAUGCACCAACGAGACUUCGCAUAUGAAAGGGGUUUGCCAACUGUUUGUAGUGACCCAUCAACCAAUUGGCAGACUGGACGCACAAUGCGGAGUAGAAACUACACAACUAUAGUAAAGAGGUCACUAGAAACAAACUUUGGGCAUAGACUACAUCUCAUUAUUAAGCCUUUAAUCAAGUCUUCCAAACAUUGAAGUACAAUAUUCCAUGAACAGAAAUCUAUGCUAAAAAUCAUUCGAAAAAGUGGUUGACACUUACUUGUGGUCUGAGGGAUUGGGCCUAAGUUCAUAAACAAUUGUUGCAACAACAUCCCUCUUCAACUGUUAACCAUAGACAAGGAAAAAACGUGUCAUUAAAGGUACCAACACUUCAUCCACAACACAGAUUGACAAUACCACCAAACUUGAUCUUUUCACAUUAUUACCUGGGUGGCUUCACCUUUAAAGCCAAUAUAGUGUAUGCGACUUGUAUCACCGCCAAAAUUAUCAGGGAAAUGCAAUGUGAUGCUUGACACACUUUGAAAUUUGGCAUAUCUAUUUAGAAGAAUUUAUAUUACAUUAGAAAUGGGGGAUAACUGAUGAUCAUAUACUAAAUUGUAAAGAAGAAAUACAAUUGCCAACUUGAUAUGGUAUGCCGCCACGGAAUUGUGACGAACCAUUUGCGUCUCUCUUUGAUCAGCACUGUAAUUGUUUUGAAGGGAAUAAUUACCUUGUCUGGUACUCUAGCACUCCUUGCAAAUUUUCAACCAGAUCCCACUCCUGAACAGCUUGCAUACCAUGAGCGUCUGAGAAAUCAAUGCCAUCUCGAUUGGUGAACACUCUCAUCUUUGAAGGGCUUGUUCCAUCAGCACCACCAAUAAUUGAAAUGCUUUUUAUCUUAACAUCCGAUGUAAAUCUAUUAAAUAGAAAAUAAGAUAUCAGAAGAGUAGUUUCUGGGAUAUGAUAAAUAAAAUUUGUAGGAAAAAACAUGCAACUACACCAGUGAAAUGAUAAAAAAAGAACUUUCAGAAAAAAGAAAACAGAAAACCUCCAAAUUGUACUAUCGAAGAUGAGGGCUCCCUGAAACAAAUUACACUUAUGAACAGUAUAAAUCCUGUUAUUCCAAAACUAUGUAUUGAAAUUUGAAAGACAGCAAAAAAGACAAGAAAGGAAAGAAGCAGAGUUGAUUUAGAUUGCUCGCAGAAACAAGUGCUUGGAGUCAGCCAAUGGGUUUAGUCUGGAACAAGUUCUCGAAAGCAGUAAACGCAAUUUCAGAAAACAAUCUUUUUCCCACAAGGCAGUCACCAUUGUGUCACCCACAUCUAAGUAUGUUACAGUAUUUGGGAAGCCAUGGUUACUGGUUAGAUGCCAACACAACAUACAAUAAAGACCCCCAACUAUACAAGUCAUUCACUUGAAGCCUGAAGGGACAUUGUAAUUCUUCAAAUUGCAAACCAUCAUACAAGGAGAUCUACAAACUAGUAAAACACAAAAUGAGAAGCAAAAAUUCACCACAUAGGAUAGGUUUUAUCAAUCCAAAAAAUUAUAUGAAAUAUAUAAUCAUAAAAUGGUACUAUAUAGCAAUCACAUACUGUGUAAAUCUAAAAUAUACAACAAUAAACAAGGCACACAGACUUUUUCACUCACGGGAUAUAAACAAGCAAUUCAGGAUCACCCUCGUUGCUUUCCAAGUGUUCCCCGGAAGAAUCCAGGCGCUGUUCCCAAGCUUUAAAAACUGACUUAACACUUCCCCGAACAGCUUCGUUCAGAGCCGAUACCUUAGAGAGGUCUAUGUGCUUGUAGAGAGACCAAUUAGAGGAGCAAUCGUGAUCUUCACAGCUAUGAUCAUGUAAACAAGCCAUUUUUCCCUUCCAAUUUCCGAAAUUCUCAGUUUCAGCUGCGACAAAUAAGAAGGAAAACGGUAAAGGUAAUGCCUGUU